rnacentral:rRNA from 1 species
GAUGAACGCUGGCGGCGUGCCUAAUACAUGCAAGUCGAGCGAACAGACGAGGCGCUUGCUCCUCUCACGUUAGCGGCGGACGGGUGAGUAACACGUGGAUCACCUCCCUAUAAGACUGGUAUCACUUCGGGAAACCGGAGCUAAUCCCGUAUAAUCUCUUGCACCGUAUGGUUCAAUAGUGAAAGACGGUUUUGCUGUCACUUAUAGAUGCAUCCCCGCCGCAUUAGCUGGUUGUUAAGGUAACGGCUUACCAAGGCAACGAUGCGUAGCCGACCUGACAGGGUGAUAGGCGACACUGGAACGGAAACACGGUCAAGACUACUACGGGAGGCAGCAGUAGGGAAUCGGCCGCAAUGGGCGAAAGCAUGACGGAGCAACGCCGCGUGAGUGAUGAAGGUCUUCGGAUCGUAAAAAUCUGUUAUGAGGGAAGAACAAAUGUGGAAGUAACUAUGCACGGCUUGACGGUAACUAAUCAGAAAGCCACGGCUAACUACGUG